AUCCUCGUAACUGGUGCCCAACCACAGUCUUCAUUUCUCACUGAAUACAAGAAAAUAAAAGACCAAAGGUAAAGAUUCCUUGGCCUUAUAUCACUGAGAAUCCUAGAGAACAUCUCUGACUCAUGGCUACAUUUGCAUGGAUCCUAGCAAAAUAAGAUCAUUGCUCUCAUUAAGUAAAAAAAAAUUAAAUUGUUCCUGGGUAACGCUGAUCAAAAUCCACGUAUAGCUGUGAUAUCACCAUGACAUGAGCAGCUUUGCACCACCACACCCUUCCACCAUGAUGUUCCUGCCUUGGAGCCAGCUAACCAUGGACUAAACCCUCUGAAACUGACUACAAUGCAGUUUCUACAAAAACUGAGACCUUCUUUACUUCAUCACUGAGCCUAGAAUAUCUAGAACCCUACAGCCCUUAAAAGAUAUUAGUUGGAAGAAUGUAUAGUCCUAAGAUAUUAUCAUUUCUCCUGUGACCUAACAUGC
rnacentral:lncRNA from 1 species